rnacentral:rRNA from 1 species
GACGAACGCUGGCGGCGUGCUUAACACAUGCAAGUCGAACGGAAAGGCCCUGCUUUUGUGGGGUGCUCGAGUGGCGAACGGGUGAGUAACACGUGAGUAACCUGCCCUUGACUUUGGGAUAACUUCAGGAAACUGGGGCUAAUACCGGAUAGGAGCUCCUGCUGCAUGGUGGGGGUUGGAAAGUUUCGGCGGUUGGGGAUGGACUCGCGGCUUAUCAGCUUGUUGGUGGGGUAGUGGCUUACCAAGGCUUUGACGGGUAGCCGGUCUGAGAGGGUGACCGGCCACAUUGGGACUGGGAUACGGCCCAGACUCCUACGGGAGGCAGCAGUGGGGAAUAUUGCACAAUGGGCGGAAGCCUGAUGCAGCAACGCCGCGUGCGGGAUGACGGCCUUCGGGUUGUAAACCGCUUUCGCCUGUGACGAAGCGUGAGUGACGGUAAUGGGUAAAGAAGCACCGGCUAACUACGUG